GCGAUGAUGAAUCUGUGGUUUUGAUCAGCGAUGAAACCAAACGACCGAUUCCUCUAAGAAGUUCUGAGCUC
ensembl:snoRNA